rnacentral:rRNA from 1 species
UACGAAGGGUGCUAGCGUUGUUCGGAAUCAUUGGGCGUAAAGCGCGUGUAGGCUGCUUAUUAAGUCGGGUGUGAAAUCCCUAGGCUCAACCAAGGAAGUGCAUCCGAAACUAAUAAGCUAGAAGACGGUAGAGGAAGGUGGAAUUCCAAGUGUAGAGGUGAAAUUCGUAGAUAUUUGGAGGAAUACCGGUGGCGAAGGCGGCCUUCUGGGCCGUUCUUGACGCUGAGACGCGAAAGCGUGGGUAGCAAACAGGAUUAGAAA